CCUACGGGAGGCAGCAGUAGGGAAUCUUCCACAAUGGGCGAAAGCCUGAUGGAGCAACGCCGCGUGGGUGAAGAAGGUCUUCGGAUCGUAAAACCCUGUUGUUAGAGAAGAAAGUGCGUGAGAGUAACUGUUCACGUUUCGACGGUAUCUAACCAGAAAGCCACGGCUAACUACGUGCCAGCAGCCGCGGUAAUACGUAGGUGGCAAGCGUUAUCCGGAUUUGUUGGGCGUAAAGGGAACGCAGGCGGUCUUUUACGUCUGAUGUGAAAGCCUUCGGCUUAACCGGAGUAGUGCAUUGGAAACUGGGAGACUUGAGUGCAGAAGAGGAGAGUGGAACUCCAUGUGUAGCGGUGAAAUGCGUAGAUAUAUGGAAGAACACCAGUGGCGAAAGCGGCUCUCUGGUCUGUAACUGACGCUGAGGUUCGAAAGCGUGGGUAGCAAACAGGAUUAGAUACCCGUGUAGUC
rnacentral:rRNA from 1 species